rnacentral:piRNA from 1 species
UACUACUGCUCUCAGAUGUGUAGGUGCUCC